GGCCAUGUGGCCUAAUGGAUAAGGCGUCUGACUUCAGAUCAGAAGAAUGCAGGUUCGAGUCCUGCUGCGGUCG
rnacentral:tRNA from 1 species